GUAUACAAUAUUCACUGUAAUACAAUGAGCAAGACUUUGCUUUAUUGUCCAGUGGGCUACACAGAAUAUCUUGAGCCAGAAAAAUUGUGUCACUCUCUACAACCUGUGAUCUUAUAUCUCACUGUUUUUUGUUUUGUUUGUUUGUUAUUCCUUUAAAUGGACACUUCAGACCCCUAAAGUGCUAUAGCUUGCUGAAAAACUUUAUGGGUGAAGAGUAUUUUCUCAUUAUUUUACAA